AUGGGGAAACAAAGAGAUGGCGAUGGAGAGACCAAAGACAAGAAAAAGAGAGCAUCAUGGACCACUCCUCAACUAGACCUGCUCGUUUCUGUGAUGAAAGAGUAUGCAGAUGCAGCUAGAUUUCGUGGUCAGAAUGGAUGGACGAAAGAAGGAUGGAAUUCCAUGACUAUACGAUUGAAUAAUCAGUUUCCAAGAGCUAAUUUCAUUGUUUGUCAACUAAAAUUUAGAGAGCAGCGGUUGAAGAGAGAAUAUUUUGUUGUCAAAUCUAUUGUAGAGAAGAGUGGCUUCGGUUUUGAUCCUAAUACAAAAAUGCCAACAACCAUUGAUGAAAAAUGGGAUGAAUUGAGCAAAGAACAACAGAAGUGGAGAUACAAAGCUUUCCCUUACUAUGAUGACUUGCAUGCAAUUUAUGAUGGUAAAACAGUGGAGGGGAAGGGCUGUAAGAGGACAACUGAUGUGGUUGAGAGAAGUCUAGUCCGGCUACAGAUUUACCACAAGGGGAAAGCUUCACACAACAAGUUCUAG
rnacentral:rRNA from 1 species